rnacentral:lncRNA from 1 species
CCUGAGAGGUACUGAACUAAUGUAGCCAUGCUUUGUGUGUUCUAGCCCUGUUUGAAAGUUCUUUUUUGUCUAAGGAAAGGAAAACAAUUCUCAGAGAACUCAUCUAGAAUAACAUCCCUGUACUUUCUUAUGAGAAAGAGAAAGUUGCUUGUUGAAGCCUUUGGAGACAGAAGUUUUAAGGUGCUAAGAAAGAAAAGUAAAUACCAAGGAACACAAGUGCUGGUUCACAUGGUAACAAUAUGUUUAGAUUUGUAAGAGACUGUCAAACUGUCUCCCAAAGAGGCAGUACCAUUUUGCAUUCCCACCAGCAAUGAAUGAAGAGUUCCUGUUUCUCUGAUCCGUGGGGAUGCUCCUUGACUUACGAUAGGGCUAUGUCUGGACAAACCUAUGGGAUCACUCUUCUAUGCUGUGCUGGCCCAGACCCAGCCCUCUCCAGCCAGGAAACAUAAAAUACAGAAAGUCAUAAAACCCAGAAGUUUGAUUUGGUACCGUAAUGCCAUCACCCAUGGAGUGUAAGUACCAUAGGGUAAUGAGUUAGCUCUGCUCUAUUUGCUGUUGUAACCUGGACCAAGAAGAUGUAUGGCACACAGAUGAUGCAAUGAUGAAAGCUCUAAUCACUGGAAGAACAUCUGCCCAUCAUAGAGAGACAUUUGAAGAAGGCACAGGACCUCUGAUUUACUUUGAGAAAUUUGUCUUGUUUAACACAAGGGCUCCAGUGCCGUGGAGUUUUGCAUAUCAGCAUAACUUUAUGAAUGUACAUGGUAGAAUAUUUCUUAUCUGCUGGAAAAUACACAAUCACAAUGUUCAUUUAGAGUCUGAACUAGAGAAUAUACGUAUGUGUGUGGGUGUUAGGGAUAGAAGAUAUGUUUUCUUGGGCAUUAACCCUAUUAUUAUUAAUAAAAAA